GCAGCCGCGGUAAUUCCAGCUCCAAUAGCGUAUAUUAAAGUUGUUGCAGUUAAAAAGCUCGUAGUUGAAUUUCGGGAUCAGCAGGUCGGUCGCGCCUCCGGUGUGUACUGGCCUAGCUGGUUUCUCCCUUCUGACGAACCACGAUGUCAUUAAUUUGGUGUCGCGGGGAAUCAGGACUGUUACUUUGAAAAAAUUAGAGUGUUUAAAGCAGGCUAAGGCUUGAAUACAUUAGCAUGGAAUAAUGAAAUAGGACGUUUGAUCUUAUUUUGUUGGUUUCUAGGAUCGACGUAAUGAUUAAUAGGGAUAGUUGGGGGCAUUAGUAUUCAAUUGUCAGAGGUGAAAUUCUUGGAUUUAUUGAAGACUAACUACUGCGAAAGCAUUUGCCAAGGAUGUUUUCAUUAAUCAAGAACGAAAGUUAGGGGAUCGAAGACGAUCAGAUACCGUCGUAGUCUUAACCAUAAACUAUGCCGACUAGGGAUCGGAUGAUGUUAAUUUUUUAAUGACUCAUUCGGCGCCUUACGGG
rnacentral:rRNA from 1 species